GGCAAAGUUAACAUUCAUUUGUCUGAUUUUCCUGGUCAUCAUUGCCUGUGUGUUUGCAGCGCCGGGCCCACACAAAUUUGGCGGUGGCAAACGCGGCGGCCAUAGUGGAGGUGGAGGCUAUGGUAGAGGCGGUGGCUAUGGUGGAGGUGGAGGCUACGGUAGAGGCGGUAGCUAUGGUGGAGGCGGCGGAGGUGGCGGUGGCGGAGGUGGCGGUGGAUACUAGGCGGAGGCAGUGUUGGUAGCUCUGGCGAACGCUGGAGUUGCAGAUUAGCGCUUUAUAGAAUUUACUGACAUUCAGCAGAAUAUGACACCUCAGACGUCCUAAAGAAAAUUCAAGAUCAGUGUGAUAUUUACUAAAAAAAUCAGCUUGUUAAAAUUAUUGUAAAACAAAAAAAUAAACAUACCUUC